rnacentral:rRNA from 1 species
GGGCCAGACUCCUACGGGAGGCAGCAGUGGGGAAUAUUGCACAAUGGGGGAAACCCUGAUGCAGCGACGCCGCGUGAGCGAUGAAGUAUUUCGGUAUGUAAAGCUCUAUCAGCAGGGAAGAAGAUGACGGUACCUGACUAAGAAGCCUCGGCUAACUACGUGCCAGCAGCCGCGGUAAUACGUAGGGGGCAAGCGUUAUCCGGAUUUACUGGGUGUAAAGGGAGCGUAGACGGCGAUGCAAGCCAGAUGUGAAAGCCCGGGGCUCAACCCCGGGACUGCUCUGGGAACUGUGCGGCUGGAGUGCGGGAGGGGCAGGCGGAAUUCCUGGUGUAGCGGUGAAAUGCGUAGAUAUCAGGAGGAACACCGGCGGCGAAGGCGGCCUGCUGGACCGCGACUGACGUUGAGGCUCGAAAGCGUGGGGAGCAAACAGGAUUAGAUACCCCUGUA